GCGUGGUGACUGGUUGGUUCAACUAACUGGGAUAUUAUUUUGUUGUUUUAACCCUCUGGUCCGAUGCACAUUGGAUAUACGUUAGCAGGUUUCACACGCUCAAAAUUCAGUCUUCUCUGGAAAAGUAGUUCUUGUCCUGGACAGACGAAAGCCAUCCUUCAGAAGGGUGUGUACCAGCAGGCAUGGGAUACUGGUGUUGAUUCAGAAGCUUUCUGUCAUCUGGGUUGGUGGUGGCUAAUACUCUAUGGGGCCAUUGAGGAAAACAACUGGACAAUGGAAAGAUUUGUAUACAGGUGAGUGUGAACUUCCCUAACAUCACCUGGCAGAGAAGUCAUCCCUGGCUAGCUGGUCAGUCUCACAUUGGAACGCCAGGGUGUGGUGAGAGGAUUUUUGGGCCAGUAAAGGACCAGGUGUGGUGGAGUUCUGAGAAAGGUGUCUGAGAUUUCCCUUUAGAUUUGUGCAAAACUCUCUAGAAUUGUGUUGAUGGAACAGAAUAUUCAGAAUAAUCUGUGAGUUUCCUGAACAUAGAACCUCAAGUCCCAAUGAUGACUGUCCCUCUCAACCCAAACAUCUAAAGGUUAAAAACCUAAAAACUGUAUGAUUAAACCAAGCCACUGUACUCCAACAAUGUUAUGCUGGCAAUGCAAUUUGACCCAUUCUCAUAUAAUGCAGAAUGUAGUUAAAAUCAAAUCUUUAUCUGCAAAUAUUACUAAUAUUCUGAGUUUAAAAUAUGCAUCUUGGCCAUCUAACAUCCUAGAUGCUGAGAUGACAUUAGUGUUGAUUGAGGAGUGGAGGAUUGGUGUUGUAUUCAUUUAACAUAUCCUGGCAAUGCCAGCUGUGAAUAAUUAUUUUAGUUCAGGGGAGCUCAGAUACUGUACCUUUAGUUGGGGACAUUGAUGUUACCACCAGGGGGUAAUGUUGGCCACAAAUUGGCUUUCCGUAGAUCUUGAUCAUGUAUAGCCCCAGCUGAAUAAAGUGGGGUUUGCGUCUGGAUAUCUAAACUAUGUUCUUAAGUCCAUCUUGUUUUUUUGCCUCACCAGGAAACACACAUGUGUCAUAGAAAUGUAUCUUGAUGAUGUGUCUGUUUUGUCCUGGCUAUUUUCCUGUAAUUUUAGUGCAGAGUCAGUUACACUAAGUGGGACUUGCUGUAAUGACAAUGUACUGACUAUUUUAUUCUUUAAUAAAGCAGAUAAUAAAGCGAUGAUAAACCACAAAAUGUAGCAGAUCUUUAAUUUUAUUUGUCCAUCUGUUUGGAUUAAAGGUAAUGUCAUUGACACCCCUUAUUGAUUAAUCAUAAUGAAGUCCUCCCUCAAAUUCAACCUACAUGUCAACAAAAGCAAGCAAUUGGUGUGAGGCAGCCAUCCAUCUCAAAGGUUAGCUAACGAUUAGCAAAUUGUUUUGUAACAAUACAGUGGCUUCUGAAAAGUAUUCAGAUCCCUUCACCUUCUCCAUGUUGUGUGUUAUAGACUGAAUUAAGAAAUUAAUAAUUUUUUCGCCAUGAAUCUACACAAUAACCAUAAUAGCAAAGAAAAAAAAACAUGUUUAUGAAUAACUUGUGCCAAUUUACAGAAAGUAAAAAAACGUAGUAUUCAGACCUUUUGCCAUGACA